GAGUCACUGAACAGGUAAGAAGAUCUCCAUGACACUAACCACAGUGGAUGCCAGGAGGAUUCUGCCUCUCACCCCUCACAGUUCAAAAUCAAGAGAUCUAGUCAGAGCUGGCUUUUCGGACCCCCAAAGCUGCAGAUGACCCUCUAUCACUGACUCCAUUCCUGGUUUUGAACAGCAAUUUCAACUUUCAUAUUUAGAAACAGAAUAGAACUUCAAGUCUUGUCUAUCCUGAUUUCCCUACAAGACUCUAUGGAUGACUGAAGAAUUGUGUUCUCAAAUGGGAUCAGAUCUGUCAACCCCACUGCAUCAGGCUGAAGCUCUUGAUAGGAAGUAUAUAUAAAAUGGUAGCCUCCAAAGAGACAGAGACUAUUCCCAACUCCCA